GGAGGUAUAGCUCAGUGGUAGAGCCCAUGCUUAGCAUGCAUGAGGUCCUGGGUUCAGUUCCCAGUACCUCCA
rnacentral:tRNA from 1 species